UACGAAGGGGGCUAGCGUUGCUCGGAAUCACUGGGCGUAAAGCGCACGUAGGCGGACUCUUAAGUCGGUGGUGAAAUCCUGGAGCUCAACUCCAGAACUGCCUUCGAUACUGAGAGUCUCGAGUCCGGGAGAGGUGAGUGGAACUGCGAGUGUAGAGGUGAAAUUCGUAGAUAUUCGCAAGAACACCAGUGGCGAAAGGCGGCUCACUGGCCCGGUACUGACGCUGAGGUGCGAAAAGCGUGGGGGAGCAAACAGG
rnacentral:rRNA from 1 species